GAUAUAGAGUUCCAAUGGCAUAUCGUUUUUAUGUAGACGAUAUUAAUAGUUGUUGUAUUUGUUUUCAGAUUACCCUGGCCUCCCUAUGCAGCAUUACCCUGGCCUCCCUAUCCAGUAUUACCCUGGCCUCCCUAUGCAGUGUAUGUAUUAGUGAAUGUUCCCUUUCAGGAUAUAGAGUUCCAAUGGCAUAUCGUUUUUAUGUAGACGAUAUUAAUAGUUGUUGUAUUUGUUUUAAGAUUACCCUGGCCUCCCUAUGCAGUGUAUGUAUUAGUGAAUGUUCCCUUUCAGGAUAUAGAGUUCCAAUGGCAUAUCGUUUUUAUGUAGACGAUAUUAAUAGUUGUUGUAUUUGUUUUCAGAUUACCCUGGCCCCCCUAUGCAGUGUAUGUAUUAGUGAACGUUCUCUUUC